AAGUUGGGAAAUUUAGUUUAAGACAAGACAUUCAACUUUAUUAGGUUUUUACUGAAUGCAUAUUUUCAUAUUCGAUGCUAGUGUUUUUGUUUAGGAUUGAAACUCAAUUUCAGCGUUGGACUAUGCCUGCAACUUAGAUUCUCUUUGAAUUGGGCAUUCCCUCGACCUUGACUCCUCUACAAAAUCCUUUUGCGCAUCUAAGAGAUUCAAUUUCACACUCUCUUACCAGACAAUUUUAAUCAUGGAUUUAUCAAUUUGCAAUUUCAGGUAAUGAUUUCGAACAUGUGUUAUUUUUCUGAACAAAACCCUAAAAUUUCUAGUGAUUGUUGGUUUUUAAGGCUAUGUAUAAUGAAUCUAAUGUAUAUAAAAAUACUGUAAUUAGCGAACUAACAUAUCAAGAACAAAUUAGAGGGGUUAUGAGUUUUACUACAUUUAACUUCUGUGUCAAUUUGGUAUUUUAUAUAUGCUCUAUUAAUAUUGGAAAUUAAAUUGCAAUCUAGGUGUUUGUGGAAAUUACAACAUAUUUUUUCUUGGUCGAAUUUCUGGCAUAUACAGCUUUAGUUAAAUUUGUUAAAGUUUUUUGGGGUCUAAAAUGUAGAUGGAAGGUUUAGGGUCUACAUACAUUUCACAUUUGGUAUAGUGAUUAGAAGUCAUAAAUGGUCUAUGAUUGUAAAUUUGAAUAUGGAGUACUUGUUUUGAUAAUAUAAAGGUUCCAUUUUCUUUAUUAAAUUGAUAAUAUAUUUUUGAUCGUCUUUGUCUGCAUAUGCUUGAUUAUCUUUCUCUGCAUAUGAAGAUUGAAUGGCUGCCCUGUUAUAAGGAGAUGUUGCCCUGUUAUAAGAGUUUUCGGUCUUCUGCUUCUCUUUUUCUGCUCCUACAGUACCUUGUGCAAUGUUCAUCAUUGAUUCUUCUGCUAAAUGACAUUUUGACACCCAAGGUUUCUAAAAAUUUCAAUUUAGCCCCUUAAGUUUUUGAAAUUUGAAAUUCUGCCCCUAUACUUAUAUACAAUGUCUUCUAGGUUUAACGAUCAUGACUUUCUUUGGGCCAAGAUAAAGCAACCUGAGCAUCGAACCAUAUCAAUUCUCUACAGAGAUAGGUACUCUUAUUUCUUCUUCCCACUUUGUCCUACAUCAAGUAGGCGCUAAGGCCCAUGGGCAUUGGUGGUAUGGGUGCAUGGGGGCGGGUGAAUUGCGGAACAGAAGAAAUGUGGUGCAUGGAAAAAGGCGUUGGGAACGCGGUUAGGUUGGGCACACUAGCGCGGGUGAGCAAUAGUGUUGGUGCUUCGGGCAACGAGGCAAAGGACGAUUAGGUUAUGGGGCUAAAUGUCUGCGUGGAAAUUCAUACCGUGGCACCCAAUCCCCUAUCGCGGUUGUUAGGCGUUCGAGGACAUGCGUGCGUAGGCGCGCAAAUGCUAUGACAAAAGUCAUUAUAAGCAAAAUUGGUGCAAUUAAUAGGGCGUGGAGCAUGCACGCGUGGGUAUGAGAGUUAAAUGGUACUGGGCUCAAGUGUGGACAGAGAUGUUGAGUGUUGCGCAUGUGAGGGAGAGAGCGUGAAUAGGGGGCACGAUUUCAAGGGCGUGUGAGUAUAUGGGUGCUAGUGGUCCUGGCGAUGAGGAUCAUAUGCCCUAGUAGGUCGAGCGACACUGGGAGUGCUAGUGUCUGCGUCCCCCAACACUAUCGUCACUGUGUCUAUUAAGUGUCCACACGCCUAUGCCCCUGAAAUAGUGUACUAUGCCUUCAUCUUUUUUUAUACUAUAAGUUUGAUCUUUCCUUCAUGUACAUUAUCAUAGUAAUAUAAACCAGAGCAUCACAAAAUUCUGUUCAUACUGUCAUAUCCCAACUCAAAAAUUGGUGGUCAAUAGACAACCUUGUAUGCUACAGUGCAGUAAUAUGAGGCCAAGAUUAAUUGUUCUACGGGACGUAUUAUUGAUUUUGAGAUUUUAUAAAAUUUAGAUUUUGAUUGCGAUCAAUCUUCUCUUUCGUGCACGAGUAAUCUCAGUGGAGUGACCCCAAACCAUCGUAUGUCUAGGGAGAUUGGCAUCCAUCUAAUCUUGGUUGGAAUCAAGGGAUCCUAUUGUAUAGGUGCGGAACCUAAACCCUAGUUAUUUUGUGUGUUGUCCUAUAUCAUUUGACUAGUCGAAAGUAUCAUAUGGAUCCUCCACUUUUCUUAUUUGGUUCAUUCUAUGCAGAACUCAUUUUUUGUGUACCACAUUCACAAAACCUUGUGGUGAAGAUUUUUACCUCUUUAUAUGAUCUAAAUUCUAAACAGUAUAAUCAGGAUCACAACUUUUUGAGUAU
rnacentral:lncRNA from 1 species